rnacentral:rRNA from 1 species
AUUGAACGCUGGCGGCAGGCCUAACACAUGCAAGUCGAGCGGUAACACAGAGGAGCUUGCUCCUUGUGUGACGAGCGGCGGACGGGUGAGUAAUGCCUGGGGAUCUGCCCGAUAGAGGGGGAUAACUACGGGAAACUGUAGCUAAUACCGCAUAAUGUCUACGGACCAAAGUGGGGGCUCUUCGGACCUCAUGCUAUCGGAUGAACCCAGGUGGGAUUAGCUAGUUGGUGAGGUAAUGGCUCACCAAGGCGACGAUCUCUAACUGGUUUGAGAGAAUGACCAGUGCCACUGGACAUGAGAGCCGGUCCAGACUCCUACGGGAGGCAGCAGUGUGGAAUAUUGGACACUGGGCGCAAGCAUGAUGCUGCCACGCCGCGUGUGUGAAGAAGGCUUUCGGGUUGUGAAGCACUUUCAGCGGGGAGGAAGGGUCACUAGUUAAUACCUAGUGGCAUUGACGUUACUCGCAGAAGAAGUACCGGCUAACUCCGUGCCAGCAGCCGCCGCCGUAA